rnacentral:rRNA from 1 species
GUGUCAGCCGCCGCGGUAAUACAGAGGGUGCGAGCGUUGUUCGGAAUUAUUGGGCGUAAAGAGCGCGUAGGCGGUUUGCUAAGUCUGAUGUGAAAGCCCUCGGCUUAACCGAGGAAGUGCAUUGGAUACUGGCAGGCUUGAGUGUGAGAGAGGAUAGUGGAAUACCUGGUGUAGCGGUGAAAUGCGUAGAUAUCAGGUGGAACACCGGUGGCGAAGGCGGCUAUCUGGAUCAUAACUGACGCUGAGGCGCGAAAGCAUGGGGAGCAAACAGGAUUAGAAACCCCCGUAGUCC